rnacentral:tmRNA from 1 species
GGGGUUGCUUGGUUUUGACAGCUCGUAUGUGGGAAUGUAAGCACGUCGGACGUUGUAAGUAGGUUCCGCAAUAGCCAACUUUCAUGCCACAAUAAAUGGCGAAAACAACAAUUUUGCUCUCGCUGCGUAAUCAGAUUACGUAGGAAAGCCAUCUCGCCAAAAGCCCUUCUCUACGGCGUUUGGAAUUGAGGUGUCGGAAAAGUGGAGAUAGCAUGAGUAAGCCUCGUUGCAAGUGCGAAACUUUUAGAGGAUAAGUUGCCGAUUAGCAUAGCCUUGUGCAGGUCUGCAAACGAAAAUUAAAUCAAGGAUAAGCGUGUAGAAAGCAUUUUUGCAACGUGUUUGGACGAGGGUUCGACUCCCUCCAGCUCCAC